CAGCCCUCAGGGGUCACUUUUAUAGUUUGUUACUAGAGAAAUUUCUCUGACUGUGUAGAGUAUUGGAAACCAUAAGGAGGAGAUAUAAUGUUUUCUCUUGAGUGUGAAGGCAGCUCUUAGUGUUGCUUUGCUGCAACUGUCACUUGCCAAUGAUGAUCAUUGCUGCUUUCCUCUGGACUGCAGGGAGAGGGCACAGUCUGAGUGGC
ensembl:snoRNA U3 Small nucleolar RNA U3